GGAGCAUGUGGUUUAAUUCGAUGCAACGCGAAGAACCUUACCUACUCUUGACAUCCAGAGAACUUUCCAGAGAUGGAUUGGUGCCUUCGGGAACUCUGAGACAGGUGCUGCAUGGCCUGUCGUCAGCUCGUGUUGUGAAAUGUUGGGUUAAGUCCCGCAACGAGCGCAACCCUUAUCCUUUGUUGCCAGCGGUUCGGCCGGGAACUCAAAGGAGACUGCCAGUGAUAAACUGGAGGAAGGUGGGGAUGACGUCAAGUCAUCAUGGCCCUUACGAGUAGGGCUACACACGUGCUACAAUGGCGUAUACAAAGAGAAGCGACCUCGCGAGAGCAAGCGGACCUCAUAAAGUACGUCGUAGUCCGGAUUGGAGUCUGCAACUCGACUCCAUGAAGUCGGAAUCGCUAGUAAUCGUAGAUCAGAAUGCUACGGUGAAUACGUUCCCGGGCCUUGUACACAUCCGCNNGUCACNCCAUGGGAGUGGGUUGCAAAAGAAG
rnacentral:rRNA from 1 species